rnacentral:rRNA from 1 species
UACAGAGGUCUCAAGCGUUUGUUCGGAUUCAUUGGGCGUAAAGGGUGCGUAGGUGGUUUAAUAAGUUACUGGUGGUAAAUCGGGGCUCAACCUCGUGGAAGUCAGUAAUACUAUUAGACUAGAGGACCGGAGGAGUUAACGGAAUGGCUCAUGUGAAGGGGUAAAAUCCGCAAAUAUGAGUUAGAACACCAAUUGGCGAAGGCAGUUAACUAUUCGGUUCCUGACGUUGAGGCACGAAAGCGUUGGGGAGCAAGACGG